CCGGCUAUUAUUCUCCCUCAUGGGCUGCAGAAGAAGUUUUUGCUCUGUUUAUAUUGCGGAAGCUCAACACUGGAGUUCGUUUGGAACGAUACACAGAAGAUUAGCAUGGCCCCUGCUCAAAGAUGAUAUGCACAAUCGAGAAAUGGUCCAAAUUUUUUUUGCCCCUUCGCCGGCGGUGAUGCUUCGCUCCCAAACUCAACUCUUUUUGCCGGUCGGCGGCGGCGAUGCUCUCUCACGAGAUUUCUUAAGUUAUUCUAAGUCAAGCAUGCGCGGAAGUAUCUAUGUUCUAAGCUUCUCAUCUAGUAACCUUCGUGUCAUAUAAGCAACUUUUUCCUUUCUUUAACAAUGACGUGUUAAAGACGUCAAUGAAGCGAGGACAUUGAAGGAGGAGCCUUCCUAUGGAAAAGGUGAAAAAGGGAUUUCAAUGAAAGGUCCUAUGGUUGUUCGAAUAACACGUGGUUCUUUUAUAUGCUUAAAUGUCAUUAUAGCACCUACGGAUAUGUGAAGGAUGUUAAGACGAGGUACUGUGCUUUUUGUUAAUGUUUGUUGAUCUUUGAGUGCUGUGUGAACUGCUUUACUUCUUUCUUUUUUUUUAUCAGUGGAAUUACUGACUUAAGUUGUACGAAAGAUAGAGACAUGAUUCUUUCUGAAGUCCCCGACAUUUAAAUUUCUUGACUUUUCAUAAA